rnacentral:lncRNA from 1 species
UCGAACUCCAUCCUUUAAAAUGGCAAAUUUAUUUUGGUGUUCAUCUGCAAUAAAAGAAUCUGAGCAAGAUGCAAUUUAUCUCUGAAACUAAAUAACCGUAUGUAGGUACGCGUCCAAUCACAAAGAACAUUAACUUGUGGAAUCUACAUAAUAAACUAAGACCAAAUACCUUGUGCAAAAAAGAAAAGACAAAACGUGCAGACGAUUUUGCAGAUUGCGUGUUCAAGAGUAUAGGAAAUCUAAGGGGGCUCACUUCCUUCUGUAACAGUGAAUUCGUCUUCUCUGAGGAGCUGCCGAGAAAGGAAUGUACGUAUGGUUAUACGAGCUGCAAUGACGAAGAUAAAAGUAUUUGCUACAUAAGUACUGACGUUGAUACCAAGGAAAUACUAACCAUCAGUAUGAUUUUGCAUCUCAGUUGUGUCUUAAUAAUUGCCCACGUCAUUUUUUCCACCAUUAACAACUUUUCCAAAUGUCGUAUGUGGAAGCUGAUGGAGCAUCACGUCCAUUUAGAAAAACUGUGCAAAAGAGCAUGACAAAGCAUUAAGAAACCCUUGCAUAUAUAGCAUCGUGUUUAGUUCAUACUUAUUCCAAAUUAAGUUUUACAAUUUAAACCGCAAUCUGCCUAUGCCCGUGGUCAAAAAAUGUACUUAUAUAUAAAAAAUUCUUCUAAGACAUAGUAUUAUUGUUUACCACUGAACUACGCAAAUAGUGAUCUUUUAGGCUUGUAGAUAGAAGACAUACUUCCAAUGAUGUUUAAUAGUAAAGAAAUAAGGAUUACUUACACUUGGUUAUGCACGGCCAACAGGGAGAUAACAUGCAUGCCGCUGCAGCAAAUAGAAAUCUAACUGCCAUCAACACAUCUAAAGAAGCCCACUUGAACAUGAAAAUCUUUUCAAAUACCUAGAUAAUAGAUAAAUGCAUGAACUAAGGUACGGUCAUGACAAUAGUUGGCAACAGGACAUGGGUAGAUUAAAAUCAAAACUCUCUUCUUUUACGGCGACAUAUUGUUCUGCAAUUAGCAAACCUCAAGAAGACAAUCAAUUGUCAUCUAAUGCUAAAGAACUGUACUGGACCACGGAUGAGUCAGAUGAACAAACCUUGAGCUCCCAAGAUUUGAAAUUGCCUGGAUCAUCCCCCUGCAGCCCCUCUCCGUUCACCAAGCGACCUGUUGAAUUAGGUCUCUG